rfam:Stegodyphus mimosarum contig43379, whole genome shotgun sequence.
GCCUUCGUGGUGUAGUGGUCUACGUGCUCGACGCGUAACCGAGAGGUCCGUGGUUCGAUUCCCGGCGAAGGCG